rnacentral:lncRNA from 1 species
UAAAUAUGGACAUUCGUGCGAGCAACGAGUCAGACAAUCUACCUCACACGCCGGGCUACAAACGCUCUUGACCGUGCGCUUGACCAUUCACCAGCCAGCCGGGCGCUUGACCAUUCUGUUUCAGUGGUCAGCUGCCCGGCCAUACGGCUUGGUUGGAGUACAGCCGAUGGAGGGGUCACUGUAUGCCCGGUGCUUGGACUUCUUCGCGGAAAAAAAAUGUUAUUGUCUCCUGCAGAUCCGCAAACGAUUCUCAUGCAGUCUUCCAUAUCUCGAUCUUCCAGAAGUGAACAAUCCUAAACGUCUUUCCGCCAAAUAACAUGAAUUGAUACCGCAUCAACUAGAUUCAAACCGCAGACAUUUCUUCCGUGUAAACAUGACUUUGUUCAGCCAGUGUGGUCGCUUAUGUGGUGAUGUACGUUGUUCCUUUACGACUCUGCCAUGGAAAGGAGGAUGACAUCAUUUUGGCCAUCACUAAAUUAUUUGUGGACUCUUGCCCCAUGCACCUCCUGAAACCGAUGCGCCUCCGUAGUCCUGUAAUUCAGGAUAUCUGAAGUCAAAGCCAGGGGCUUUAGGCUCACCGUCAACGACAUCCUAACAGGACGAUCUCCCUCGACUGCUGGGCCGACUUAGCUACACGACGUUGUUCCGACAUCAGUCCUAUUCAUCCCAAUGACGAAAUGUUCGUUGAAGGGCGUGUAGAAGGUCGGUGACGAAGGGUUCUUUGAACAAAAGGCUGACCAAAAUGGUUGACAUUCACGGAGACAACAUGGCCAAGCAACUUCGACAGAAGGUGGGACACCAGCUUCGUAAAUCGUUGCGUCGGUCAUCGCCUCACUACCAAGAUGUCGCCAUGCCCCGAUGUCAUCCUCCGUAGCGUCGCCGAAGUGGUCUAGAAUAUCACACCACGUGUGGUGAUAUUCGUCGAGCCAUGAAUUCCUCGUCAGCUGUGUAUGCGCUCUGCCAAAGGUGCUUGUACGCCAGGGUACUGCUACAUAAGGCAAGCAUCCCGAAACCUCAGUCAGCUUAUACACCAUCCCCAAGUCCGUUCCUGGAGGAGCUCUUACCCGCUUCGGGAAAAUGCUGCUGUGUCGUGCGAUUUUUUUUUUCAGGUGAGGCCCAGUCAUGCGGUUAUUUUAAGGCGUCAGGAAGAACAGAUGCCUUUUCUACUUUUGCGGUUCAACGAUAUUUGGCGGGAAAGGAUAAGGAGAUGUAACACUUCGGAGGUCAGCUGCGGUAACGACGUGAGUUUUACAGUGCUUUCUAUCUAGACUGAUUAGCUACGACCCUUGCACCCUGUGGAUUGGAUCACCAUCGGAAGGUCUUCUGACUUCAAAGAUGUCGGAUCAGAUUCCACUGGAAGAAGAAGGCUGUCGAAUUUUAAUACUGUCUGGAGAGAAGUCUGUUGUCCGCGUUGGAGUCCACCUUUGUAGUUUAGUUGUUUUCCUCUAUCCUCUAUAUUUUUAUCUCUCUCACUCUCCCUCUCUGUAUAUCUUUACCACACUCUCUACCCCCAUCACACUAUCUUGACUCUACAUUAAUCACAUUUUACACCCCCUUCUCUGCACGUAGUUUAUUAGAAUCUUUCUGACAAUAUAUCUUUUUAACCAAUUUAAUAAAGCAGCUUUGUAAUUGAUGAUUAAACUAUAAGUUAUAAAAUUAUUGACUUUCAUCUAUUGUGACGUUGUGUUUCCUCUGUAAGAGGUCUGUAUUCGCAGUUUUAGUAAAAUUGUUAAUUGAUAUCUGUAUUUCCUUCCUUAUAAAUCUUUUCUGUAAACUAUUCCUAAAACGUGCAUGGAUGUCAUGCCUCCCAGUCCCAGCUAUGGUCACAGUUACGUGAAAAGAAUUGCCAAAACUAUUUAACUGAUGUUGUUUUCUGUGUACAAGGAAUCAUUGUUAAAUAUUUUACUAUAGAUAUUUCUUUGAAGUUGUUGAUAGUGUUGACAUAGUUUUUGAGACAGGCAGUUGCUCCCUUGUCAACUUCUCGACCCCAUCAACCACUAGUAAUAUGUUUGGGUUCAUAUUUUGCAUGAAAUCCUAUAUAUUGAUCUUUGUAAAUUCACAUUAACCCCAAAGUAAUGCACCGUAAUCAUUCAGUGCAGAUAGAACUGCGCAAAGAAUCAACAUUUUUACAGUUUCUUUCAUACCUUCGAAGUGCUCGUAUCUCUUGCUCGCUUUUCUUUCCUUUCCUUCUUACAGGGUUUUCGUAGAUGAUUUUAUCUAUGAAUAUCUCGCAGCCAAUUGAAAUGCAAAAGGACAUCUCAGGUAUACAUUCUUAAUGUAGAAACGGCUCUGACAAGUCCAAAUAUGGCGCGACAGUAUCUUUCGAUGUCUGUGUUUUGGGCAAGUUUCCCCUUGUGCGCGAUGUAUGCAAGUGCUUAUUUUUUAUAAACAAAUUCGCUUUUCUCAUAAUGCUAGCUUCACAAAUAUGUGUAUCAUUAUAAUGGCUUAUUUCAAAAUUCAUUUUCUCAUAUCAGUGUUGGUCGAGGUAGGUGCAUCUAUUUGUAAUUACACACAGCAUUUUGGUAUAGCGCAUGCGCAAGCUGACGUCAGUAGCUGAUUAGAACUAGGUUAAAGUAGUAGUAUAGGUCUGGAAACUUUGUUUUCAUUCAUUGACGGUGUUUGUUCAGAAAUAUGUUUAUUGAAUGAAAGCAUAGUUUCAGAAGGCCUAGUAUUUUUUGCAAUUCUUUGUAAACUAUACAAGUAGAGUAGAGUUAGAUCGUAGGAUAUAGCACCGAAACACUGAAUCUGAAAUAUGAAUGUAAAGUUAUGUAAUGUAUGUAAUGCUGAAUCAGAGUAACGUUUAUAUAUUUGUACUGAAUAUUGUUAAGAGAUGUAGGAAGGGAGUUAUGUACGCCUUAUGACGGUUAGAAGAAGCCGGAAUGUAAAGCCACACGAAAUUGCUGCAAAAAACUGUCGUAGAUUUAGAAAUGAACUUUUUUAUGUAUAUUGAUAUUUGAGUGUGUUGUAGUGUACGAGAAAUGACGCGUCGGUUGUUUUGCCUGCGUGCGCGUCAGUGAGUGAAGAAUAGGGUGGGGUGUAUGAGAGUGUGUGUGCGUCGUGUGUUGAUAUUUCCAUUUGAAUUAGCGUGUUCAAAAAAACGGAUGACGAAUUCAGAUAUGAUAGCCUGUAUUGUACAUAAAUGUAGGAUGAGGCAGUCUUUUGUCUAAAUGAUUUUGGUCCUAUAUUAUAUACUAGUAUCGAUGCUGAAAUAGUCGUGGUUUAUUUGGAUAUGUUUAUACGUAUGCUGAAAUGUCUUAUGUUAAAACCUGCUUCUUAAAGAAGCCUGUUUUAUUAAUCUAAAAACCGUUUUUAACUUUCUUUUUAGAAGCGGAUUUUAUUUUGCAAAACUGUUGACAAUGGUGCUGAUUUGAAAUAUUUUUAGUAGAUUUUCAUCAUUUUUUUCCCGUUUCUCUACCUGCUUUUAAUGCGCGUAUUAGGCUGGAGUUGAGACAACUUCCUGCGCCGCAUUACCGGUGACGUCAUCAUUUACCAUGGAAACCCUGAUAAACUUUCAGCCAAUCACAGGGACUGGUCAUUGCUGUAGAAACACAUUUUCUUUUCUUUGCACUUUCACUAUGUCUUGUUCAUUUUAGAAACAUUCUAGAUCUCAUUUGUAAUAUUUCCAUAGUAGUUUAUGUUCGCAAUUUCCACUGAAAUAUUUUUUUUUUUUAGAAACGUUGAUUGUCGAUAUUUAUAUUAUUUUUAUUAUUUUAUUUUGUGGUAAGUCCGUCAUUAUACCUUGCCAUUUUCAGGUAAUCGGGGGGGGGGGGGGUAAUCACUGUCCACAUUUUGAUGAAGUAAAAAAAGACGAUUCCUACCAUAAUAUGUGUCGGCAAAUCAACAGAUCUAGGUCCGUGGUAUAGGAGGUUACCAUAACAUGAUAUGCUGCUUUGAUAUAGGAAUGCUGUUGUACCUACUUAGUUUGCCGAGAAGGGUUUAGUAUUGGGUGAUGUGAAAAAUGACUGACAUUGUAUUAGAAUCUUGUUACUUAUAGCAUUGAAACUGAAUGCGAUAUCGUAUGAUAGAUUAUGCUGCAUUAGUUGUUAAGAUGACAAAUUAUUGUUUUGCAUAAAUUGAACGGUAGGUUGGUUAUAGAAUGAAUGCUCAGGACAAUCAGUGAUAUCCAACGUUAAAAUCAAUACAGAAUCCGGAUUGCUUCGGGUACGAAUGAGAAUUGUCCCAUGUGAUUAGGUCAUGAGUUACCUAAGUUCCAAAUUGAACGGUAUUUACAAAAUUUCUGAACGGGGCUUGAUGGGUGUGAAGGAUCUAAGUAACAUGAAUUAUCUAUGGCUCUAACCAAAAUAUAAAGUUUAGUCAUACCACGAAUAAUAUGCUGCUAUGGAGACCGUUUCAGAUGUAACUUUUGGUGUAGACGGUCCCCUGUACACCACGUUAUUGCUGCAUGAAGGAAUGACAUUUUAUAUGUUACAUCCUUUACAAAUGUAUAAUAUCACAUAGGAGUUCCUUUCGUUUAAGUGCAGUUCCUAAACUCCAAAGUUUUUUUAAACAGUUGUGAUUUAAUUUAAGCCUCACAAAAGCAUGCUGCAUAGAUUACAAAUAUUUGGAUAAUAUGAAUAUCACGGUUACCUUUCUUAGCUUUAAGGAAAACUCGUCCGAUUGCCAAAUGAAAUUAUGAAAAAAACAAUCCUCAGAAAUCUCGUUUUUUUAUCGCUCUUAAAUGUUAUUGUUAGGUUGAAACCAGUUUACUCUUUGUAGGGCAAGCUAUUCAUCAAAAUUAUUAUUUUCCAAAAUGAUUAUGCUGAUGAUUAUACUACAUACACAAUGCUGCGCAUGCUCUUUAUUACAUUUUAUAUUUUUAUCGAGUCCUAUAAUGUAAACGAGCUUCAUUAAUAUGCUACUUUAUAUGCUUGCAUUAAUUUAAAUUUAAACUAGCUAAUAAGUAUUUAACAUGAAGGUGGAGAGAUACAAGUUCUACGUACUGCUGCAAACUGUGUCUACGCGCUGACUACGCAAAAUGACCGGUUAUACACCACAGAUCUGCUGCAAUGUAACAUAAAGUAGUUUGCUGAGAGGCCGUUGUCAUAUCGACUUCAACAAAUAGAUAUUAAACGCGAUGGACAUUCGUAUAUACGUGUAUGGUAGCUUUAAAUCUACUAAUUGCUGCAACAAAAUAUUGUCUAAAUUGGUUGUGUCCGACACACUUAAUAGACAAAGUUUACACCACAUCAGUGCUGCGUAAAACCGUAGAUAUAGAUAACAUGAAAAUCGUUAAAGCGGAUCGCAGACCUACUAAAAAUUGUACAUAUUCGUUCCUGAUCAUGAGCAAUUAAUACUGUUUGUUUUCCGGUUUGUAAACCGAGAUUUUUCAUUUUGAUAGGGCUGAAAUUUGAGGAACAAGCACCGUUUAACCCAUAAGGCGAAAUCCUCCCUUUCUCCAGCGAAUGAAUGCAUGCACUUUUGUAUUUUAUAACUUUUAUUGCCAUAUUUCACUUAGUACCAUUCUGUUGAAGUUGCCAUCUUUUAGAUAAUGCCUAUAUAUAUUUUGUGCAAAUGUAAAGUCCAAUUUGAUAAUGUAUAUAAUGUUUGCAUAUAAUACACUCAUAUAUUUGUGUGACUUGUGAACAAAUGUGAACGUCAAAAGUGACUUUACUGUACAAAAUAGGAAUCACUAUCCUAUCUAAUUCAGUUGUACUGAAACGAACUCGAAAACGAAUUAUUUCAUGUUAAGAACAAUGAACAUACAUUCUGCAAAUAUUCUUCCGAAAGAGUGGAUUUUCUACAAAUCUUUCUUUCUUAAAUGUUACGAUUAUUCCCGAUUUUAAAAUACUAAGUAUUUCAAUACCUCAUCUCGUUAGUGUCAAAUCCGCAAAUGAUUUAUCCAUUGUCUUGAAGGGAUAAUCUUGCAUUUUGUUCGUGAAUUUGGGAUUGAUGUUUUUUCUCAGAAAUUGACAAUUCUAUAAUACGUAGGAAAUAAUGAACGAGGAUGGGAUUUAAAUGUGGGUGUGUACGUGUAAGCUCGUCCCCCUUUGUUGUUGUUUUUUUAUACAUUUAUCAUCCAGGGUACUUUUAUAUUACCCCCCCCCCCUUCCUCCAAAAAAAAAAUCCGUCUCCAAAUUGGCUAUUACACAUGUUUCUCUCAGAUGAAAAUGUAAAUUGCAUUUAGGUGUGUGAUUCACUAUAAUUAUCAUUAUGUGUAAAUUGGCUUUGGUAUGCAACAAAUAUUAUUGUAUUCAGGGUCAUUUUCUAGGCCAACUAAAAGUAUACGUUUCUUAAUAUGUGAACUGUUAUCUUGUAAGUGCUGUAGAACGUGAGAAAAAAUCGUCUUGUUAAGACAAAUAUUGUUAAUAGAAGGAAAAUGUGAAAUGUGCCAUUGAAAGUGAACUUAGAAUUAGCGGUAUCACACUUUUUGUUUCAUGAGCAGAAUACAUCCUUUAUCUCUUUAUAAUUUUUGUAAUAGUUGAUGUAAUAGAAAAACUACCAAUUACCAUAUUUCGUGAUGUCUGAUAUUUUCCCCAUCACUUAAUGUUUUGCGUCCACGAUUUGGGGGUCUCUCAGGAUGUUUGAAUUAUGAGAAGAUUAUUUUUGGUUUUUAUCUGUUUUUGUAUAUCUAAUUUUAGAAUUGAUAGUCAUCUUUUAUAGACUGAGGAUAUAGGUAUAGUUGUGAUAUAGUCAUGGUAGUGAUAGUGUAUGUUUAGUGUAUAUUUAGUAUAGUGCAUUAUUCACAGUUUGUUUUAUUCUCAUGUGAAAUGAUGGUACAAGUAUCAAAUUUUAUACGAAAUUUGCAUCUUCGUAUUGUGAUUAUUCACAAACUGCUCCGUCGAUAUAUCUGUAUUUUUCUUUCAGAAAUGUAUUUCAUUUUCGGGUGAUGCAUACUGGGAAUGCUGGGCAUUUUCUUUUGGCAUUGUUGUGUAAUUUGUCGAUGCUGUUACCAUGGUCACUGUAUACAAAAAAACUGCGGAUAUCCCUAAACUUAAGCCUAUUGGAAAUAGUCGCUUCUGGCCAAAUACAUUUUUUUUUCACAAAUCCGUAAAACGAUUUUCACGAUUUGUUAUUGUAUAUAAAAUUGAGCUCUUGUCACAGUUUUGCCGUGAUGAGGAUUCUACGCGUCUGAGCACUUGAUUUGCUCAUUGCUCUCAGAAUCAAUGAAUUACGUUUUAUGAAUAUUGGUGUUUAUUAAAUCAUCCCCCUUUCAUAAAGUAAUAAUGUUUAAAAUGCCAAAUUGAAAAGGGGAAACUUUCAUUGCACCGACUGUAAUUAGCAUCUGUAAAUUCUUUAUUUUGAUGUAAAUAAAAUGAUUUGAAAGC